AUUAAAGAUGCAUAAACAAAUAAAUCAAAUAACAGCAAAGAGUAAUGUAAUUAUUGAACAAUAUAAUGCUAAGUGAUCCUUCUUUCCAGAUAUCCAGACUUUUCUCAGUUGAUCAUCCAUUAUUAGCAAUAUCAAGAAAUGCAAUUUAAAUUACAGAUAGCAACAGUGGAUUCUACACCGAUCACCCAGACUUUGUGUAAUGAAGGUACACAAAGUUCUCAGUGUUGGUGUUGUUCCUACGUCAUCAUAAUAAUUUUGGUCCAGAGUAAACAUUGGAACUGACCAUUGACAUUAUUUAAGCAUUUAGUUAGCAUUAGCCAAGAAGUUAGUGUAACCUAGUUGAGAAAAUGUCUUUUAUUUUUCAAUUUUAUUUCAUUCUCCCUUUUAUUUGUAUAGGGUGACCAACCGUCCUCUUUUCCCCGGACAUGUGCACUUUUCACGUUCUGUCCGGGGUGUCCGGGGGGAUUUUCGAGAUUGAUGAAAAUGUCCGGGUUUUCCUGUAUUCCAACAGAGGACCCAUGUGUGAGACGUCAUCCUUGAACUGCUGUUUUGUGAGCGCUUGUUCUGCGCUCACAGACGGGACUGACAGCGUGCAACAACGCGCCUAAUGAUGUUUAAAAGAUCCCAAAGCGCAAGUGCAUCUUUUCAGACGAACUGCAAAAGAAAUUUCCCUCGUACCGACCAGUCCAGCUAUGUUAGCUGGGCCGAUGGUGAUUUUUCGUUUUUACGGGCUGAUGGUUUUGUUGUUGUUGUUGUUGUUGUUGUUGUUGUUGUAACGGUAUAAUCAAUGAAAGGUUGUGGAUUGGCCAGAUGCUGGCAGAUGUGUAAAAAUAACUCAGUUAUUUGGUGGUGUCUAUGGCGGAGCUUCCACAGAGGCCAGCAGGUGGAUGAGGGAAAGGUGAGGCAGGAGGAGGAGAGAGCCGAGGCGGCUGCUGGUCCGAGUGUCAGGUGAACUGAACUUCAGCAACUGGAACCGAUUCAUGGAUUCUCUCCCGAUGGAGAUGGUGAGCUGGUGCCCAGACUGAACUGAACCCUUGUUGAAGAACUUGAUUCUUUUUUUUACCGACAAACGCCAAAAUAGUAACAACUGAAACCACCAAACAAAAACAGAACUGAACUAAAAACCAAUCAAGCAAACUUGACUAAUGACCAAAAGGACAAACUGAAAUAUUCAGCUCAAUAGGACUGUUUUUUUGUGGGGGGGUUUUGUUACGUCAGCUUAUUACUAUUGUUUUUGUUGAAAUUGUAAAUUGUAUCUUAUUUUAUUUGCAUUUUAUUUGCAAAUAAUAACUAUUGUUGCUCAUUUCCUGCCUCCAGCCAUUUCAUUUUGUAUUUACCUCAGUUCCUAUUGUAAUCCUGUUGAGCGUAGUAACUGGUUUAUACUUUGGGCUACUUUUAGCUAGACUACUUAGGUUGAGUAAGGGGUUACAUUAGUCAAUGCUGUUAAAAACUGUCACUAACAGCAGCCUAAAGCUGGCUAACAGCAAACCUAACUUGAUCAUUUAUUUAUUAUACUGUAUAACUUAUUAAAUAAAUCACUUGAAAUCCUACCAUUUGUUCCAGAAAAGAGUUUUACAUAACUUUAAGAGUUUUACUUUUUUCCCACAUUUCAAAGCAAUGACAUCACAACAAUAUGGCUGGCUAGCUGCAAAUUUGAUCACAGACUAACGUUAUUAUGAUGAUGCAGAAAAAGCCCUAACAUAAAAAUAUCAGAUACACCUACUUUUAACAGCCCCUGCUUGAAGUUUUGCCCAUGUACGUGAAUGAUCUGUUCCUUCUGGCAGGCACACUGAGAGGCAAUAGGCUGUAAUGGCAAUGGCAUAGGGAUGCUGAAGCUCCGCUAGGUGUGAUAAGAGAUAUGAUGUCGAUCUCAAAA